rnacentral:rRNA from 1 species
GAUGAACGCUGGCGGCGUGCCUAAUACAUGCAAGUCGAACGCUUUGUGGUUCAACUGAUUUGAAGAGCUUGCUCAGAUAUGACGAUGGACGUUACAAAGAGUGGCGAACGGGUGAGUAACACGUGGGAAACCUACCUCUUAGCAGGGGAUAACAUUUGGAAACAGAUGCUAAUACCGUAUAACAAUGACAACCGCAUGGUUGUUAUUUAAAAGAUGGUUCUGCUAUCACUAAGAGAUGGUCCCGCGGUGCAUUAGCUAGUUGGUAAGGUAAUGGCUUACCAAGGCAAUGAUGCAUAGCCGAGUUGAGAGACUGAUCGGCCACAAUGGGACUGAGACACGGCCCAUACUCCUACGGGAGGCAGCAGUAGGGAAUCUUCCACAAUGGGCGAAAGCCUGAUGGAGCAACGCCGCGUGUGUGAUGAAGGGUUUCGGCUCGUAAAACACUGUUGUAAGAGAAGAAUGACAUUGAGAGUAACUGUUCAAUGUGUGACGGUAUCUUACCAGAAAGGAACGGCUAAAUACGUGCCAGCAGCCGCGGUAAUACGUAUGUUCCAAGCGUUAUCCGGAUUUAUUGGGCGUAAAGCGAGCGCAGACGGUUAUUUAAGUCUGAAGUGAAAGCCCUCAGCUCAACUGAGGAAUUGCUUUGGAAACUGGAUGACUUGAGUGCAGUAGAGGAAAGUGGAACUCCAUGUGUAGCGGUGAAAUGCGUAGAUAUAUGGAAGAACACCAGUGGCGAAGGCGGCUUUCUGGACUGUAACUGACGUUGAGGCUCGAAAGUGUGGGUAGCAAACAGGAUUAGAUACCCUGGUAGUCCACACCGUAAACGAUGAGUGCUAGGUGUUUGAGGGUUCCGCCCUUAAGUGCCGCAGCUAACGCAUUAAGCACUCCGCCUGGGGAGUACGACCGCAAGGUUGAAACUCAAAGGAAUUGACGGGGACCCGCACAAGCGGUGGAGCAUGUGGUUUAAUUCGAAGCAACGCGAAGAACCUUACAGGUCUUGACAUCCCUUGACAACUCCAGAGAUGGAGCGUUCCCUUCGGGGACAAGGUGACAGGUGGUGCAUGGUUGUCGUCAGCUCGUGUCGUGAGAUGUUGGGUUAAGUCCCGCAACGAGCGCAACCCUUAUUACUAGUUGCCAGCAUUCAGUUGGGCACUCUAGUGAGACUGCCGGUGACAAACCGGAGGAAGGUGGGGAUGACGUCAAAUCAUCAUGCCCCUUAUGACCUGGGCUACACACGUGCUACAAUGGCGUAUACAACGAGUUGCCAACCCGCGAGGGUGAGCUAAUCUCUUAAAGUACGUCUCAGUUCGGAUUGUAGGCUGCAACUCGCCUACAUGAAGUCGGAAUCGCUAGUAAUCGCGGAUCAGCACGCCGCGGUGAAUACGUUCCCGGGUCUUGUACACACCGCCCGUCACACCAUGAGAGUUUGUAACACCCAAAGCCGGUGGGGUAACCUUCGGGAGCCAGCCGUCUAAGGUGGGACAGAUGAUUAGGGUG